GGGAGCUUGCUCCCGGAUGUUAGCGGCGGACGGCUGAGUAACACGUGGGUAACCUGCCUGUAAGACUGGGAUAACUCCGGGAAACCGGAGCUAAUACCGGAUAGUUCCUUGAACCGCAUGGUUCAAGGAUGAAAGACGGUUUCGGCUGUCACUUACAGAUGGACCCGCGGCGCAUUAGCUAGUUGGUGGGGUAAUGGCUCACCAAGGCGACGAUGCGUAGCCGACCUGAGAGGGUGAUCGGCCACACUGGGACUGAGACACGGCCCAGACUCCUACGGGAGGCAGCAGUAGGGAAUCUUCCGCAAUGGACGAAAGUCUGACGGAGCAACGCCGCGUGAGUGAUGAAGGUUUUCGGAUCGUAAAGCUCUGUUGUUAGGGAAGAACAAGUGCGAGAGUAACUGCUCGCACCUUGACGGUACCUAACCAGAAAGCCACGGCUAACUACGUGCCAGCAGCCGCGGUAAUACGUAGGUGGCAAGCGUUGUCCGGAAUUAUUGGGCGUAAAGGGCUCGCAGGCGGUUUCUUAAGUCUGAUGUGAAAGCCCCCGGCUCAACCGGGGAGGGUCAUUGGAAACUGGGAAAACUUGAGUGCAGAAAGGGAGAGUGGAAUUCCACGUGUAGCGGUGAAAAUGCGUAGAGAUGUGGAGGAACACCAGUGGCGAAAGGCGACUCUCUGGUCUGUAACUGACGCUGAGGAGCGA
rnacentral:rRNA from 1 species